rnacentral:tRNA from 1 species
AGGCCAAUAGCAUAAUCGGUGAAUGCACCCGCCUCAUAAGCGGGAUAAGGAGCGGUUCGAAUCCGCCUUGGCCUACUA